AAUGUCUGGGAAACUGCCUGAUGGAGGGGGAUAACUACUGGAAACGGUAGCUAAUACCGCAUAACGUCGCAAGACCAAAGAGGGGGACCUUCGGGCCUCUUGCCAUCGGAUGUGCCCAGAUGGGAUUAGCUAGUAGGUGGGGUAACGGCUCACCUAGGCGACGAUCCCUAGCUGGUCUGAGAGGAUGACCAGCCACACUGGAACUGAGACACGGUCCAGACUCAUACGGGAGGCAGCAGUGGGGAAUAUUGCACAAUGGGCGCAAGCCUGAUGCAGCCAUGCCGCGUGUAUGAAGAAGGCCUUCGGGUUGUAAAGUACUUUCAGCGGGGAGGAAGGUGUUGAGGUUAAUAACCUCAGCAAUUGACGUUACCCGCAGAAGAAGCACCGGCUAACUCCGUGCCAGCAGCCGCGGUAAUACGGAGGGUGCAAGCGUUAAUCGGAAUUACUGGGCGUAAAGCGCACGCAGGCGGUCUGUCAAGUCGGAUGUGAAAUCCCCGGGCUCAACCUGGGAACUGCAUUCGAAACUGGCAGGCUAGAGUCUUGUAGAGGGGGGUAGAAUUCCAGGUGUAGCGGUGAAAUGCG
rnacentral:rRNA from 1 species